AUUGAACGCUGGCGGCAUGCCUUACACAUGCAAGUCGAACGGCAGCACGGGGCAACCUGGUGGCGAGUGGCGAACGGGUGAGUAAUGCAUCGGAACGUACCUUUCAGUGGGGGAUAACGUAGCGAAAGUUACGCUAAUACCGCAUAUUCUGUGAGCAGGAAAGCAGGGGAUCGCAAGACCUUGCGCUGAUUGAGCGGCCGAUGUCAGAUUAGCUAGUUGGUGGGGUAAAGGCUCACCAAGGCGACGAUCUGUAGCGGGUCUGAGAGGAUGAUCCGCCACACUGGAACUGAGACCCGGUCCAGACUCCUACGGGAGGCAGCAGUGGGGAAUUUUGGACAAGGGGGGCAACCCUGAUCCAGCCAUGCCGCGUGCGUGAAGAAGGCCUUCGGGUUGUAAAGCUCUUUCGGCCGGGAAGAAAUCGCACGGGCUAAUACCCUGUGUGGAUGACGGUACCGGAAUAAGAAGCACCGGCUAACUACGUGCCAGCAGCCGCCGUAACAC
rnacentral:rRNA from 1 species